GUUAGUAUAUAUACCCGGGGCAGAGUCUGUCAUCGGCAUCGUUCUCUUUGUCUCAGAGAAGCAACAUCUCCAGCCGGAACUAGGCGGAAGGAAAAAGAUGCGUUUCAUCGUUUACAUCGCUGUCCUCGUGCUCACGGCUGCUGUCGCCCUUGCUGGCUACCACGGUCACGGAGGCUACGGAGGUUACGGCGGACACGGCGGUGGCUACGGUCACGGAGGCUACGGCCACGGUGGUUAUGGAGGCCACGGCGGAUACGGAGGCCAUGGAGGGUACGGAGGCCAUGGACACGGAGGAUACGGCGGCUACGGAAGGCGGUGAUUGAUGCCCAGACCACGAUUCGUAGACCGGGCCUCCUGAGUGCAAUGUUACAAUAAAUUAUUACCUGCGUAUCAGGUGACAAGAA